rnacentral:sRNA from 1 species
GUCGCAGUCGCCGCUACCGCUCUCUCAGCCAGCUAAAAAUUGCAAUUUUCUGCAAGUAAGUCGGCUUACGUAAAGGGCGGAGGUCCGAAAACAGUUCCCCCGCUCCUACUUUGAUAAUUGUUUUACUGGCUUUUUUUUAUCAAAUGUUGGUAGCGCAAAAUAUUUGUAUAUGUACAACAAAUAUUUUUACAUACAGCAUGGGGAAAAUUAUUAGUAUUACUACUAUAUUAAUCGAUUCAAAUGCCACAGGUUUUUUUUAGUACAGUUCUUAGUAGUAGAUGCAGUAUCAUAUCUAAUAUAAAUUAUAAUUCUUUAAGGACUUAACUUAUGUUGUUUUCUUAAAUCAAUAAUUUUAUUUUAAGCAACUUAGUUAUAUGUUAGUUACUUUAACAUUACUCAUAAUAUUCUAGUUACAAAAUUUAUAUUUUUAAAACCUUUUUUUUUUUUUGCCCUUAAAUGAUUGCUAUUAACUUGGACAUAGCUAUAUUUAUUUGUAUAUACUUGGGGGACUGCGACAGCGACGCCCGCUGAGGCAGCGCUGCUGCGGCCAAGUCACGCGGAUUUCAAUAUGACCCAAAGCCCACUGUCUAGCACAGUUCUAAGCACGUGUUGCGGACACACCGGGCACACACACAUCCGCAAAUCAAUUGAGAGAGAGCGAAAGAGAGAAAGAGAGUGCACGUUGAACGACAAGCGCACUCAAAGAUACAAAUGGGCAGACACAGAUACACGUACCGCUAGGGUGACAAAUAGAGAUACGAAUGCAACUCAAAAGUUUCCAGUCGAUUCGCAAUAGAGCGCUAUGUCUGUCCCCCGUGUAACGGGUGUACCUAUGGCCACUAGACUAUACACAUCAGCUGGAGUGCGUGGCCGAUUGGCCAAUUGGCGUGCCAAUAUUCGGUUAAUUCGGCACUGGUGCGUCUGCAACACGUGACGUAUGCGUAAUGUGCUCCAAGGGAUUGCCUCUGUGCCACCAACUACUAAUUACCGCUGCGUCAUUCCCAUCAACCCUGAAAACCCAUCAAUUGGCAUAACCAUGUGGACCAUGUGCUGGAGCGAACUUCAGUCACCUGUUUUACCCAGGCGGGUCAAUUCAGGGAAUAUCGAGUAUACGCCCCGUGUAGCCAGUGACUAUUUUUGGAACCGCGAAAGCAACAAGUCAUCUGAAGCUUCGGGAAAUGGAAAAAAACGAAGUUGGCCUCGGGAUCCAAUAACAGAAGGAUGUGCGGCAGAGCUUCGCUAUUGGCCAGGCUUAUAUGCCAGUGAAGCCGAGAAUAGGGAACCAAUCCGGGAAAAUCUGCCAACGUCGACAUGGGCAGAGAACGACGUCGACCGCGACGACAGCAGAGGCAGCGACAGCGGCGUUGUCAGGUUUUCUGUUUGUUUUGUUGUCAGUUGUUGUAUUUCGUAUUAUCACGUUUCGCUACCACGUGCACCGGCGGUCUCCCCUUGCCAGUGUGUGUAUCUGUGUGAUUGGGCUACCGCCUCACUCACACUCACACACAAUCAAAAACACCCUCACACACACACACACACCAGUGCAGCGCACUCACAUAGAUACGCCGUGGCGCUACGACGGAUGAAUGAGCCCUCAGAGAGCGCCAGAAAUUGCUAAGCAAAACCCAACUGAGUCGAAGACGCAGCUCUUGCUGGUUUAUAAAUAGCAAUUUAAAGCAUCGCACACACACACACACAUACACACAUCGAAUCAAUGAGUCACACACACUAGCACGGCAUUAUUUUGCAUCCGAAGAACAAAUAAUACAAGUAGAGAGGCAAAAAACAGACUGCAAAUAAAGCAAAUUGUGCAGAAUAAAUAUCGGAAGCGGAGCAGCAAUCAGAAAGUAAACAAAAUAAUUUUUGCUUUUUUUCAGAAUAAAAUUUAAAAAAAAAUAUUUUUUUUUAUUGAUAUAUAUAACUUAAGAAACCCUCAAGUUUUUAUGCAUUAUUUUGAACAAAUGUCGCCGCAAAUUGAGCCACUAACACACAAAGCAGGCAGCAAAUCAAACCUUCAUUAAACACACUGCGAUUUGGCGUGUUUGCAUGGAAACCGUCUGGGUUCUGGUUCCAUAUAGAGGUAUUAUAAUGGAUCCGCUGGCGAGCGGGGUUUACGAGUCUGGCAUGGCGACGUUGGAGUCAUUAUACACGUGUUUGCUGCAGCAGGUCGUAAAUUAACAUUUUGCUAAAUAAUUAUUUAGAAAUGCUGAAAUGUGUAAACGUUUUUACGAUAGCACGACUGGGUUAUUAAGAGCCUGCAACCAAUUGACCCAGAUUGUGCAGCUACAUUUAAUAUAUAUAUAUAUAUUGUUAGUUAGACGAACUAACUUAGACAUAAAUCAAUAUUAAUCAGCGACUGAAAUUCCCUAAAAUAUAAUAUACACGGUGUCGUGAACUUUGGCUCAGCAACAAUUAAAAACAAACAGUACUUCAUAUGUAUAAUUAAAAACUAUGUGAGUAAUUAAAAGGCCAAUUAAAAUUAAUUAAAAAGAAACAAUGCCCUUAAGUAUAGAUGAAUCUGUUAAAUAAAAAAUUUGAUUGUUUUAUCAUUUUUUAUGUAUAUAUUUUGUGACUCCCGAGAGAUAUGAACUCAUUCAAGGCCUCAAACACGCCAUACUCGAUAAUCCAAUCUUCGUAGUUUUUUCUAAACUUUCAUUCAUUGGCCAAAAAUGUUAAUACCAAACAUGCGCGCCAUAUCUACGAAAGUUUUAUAGAACAAGUUAACGGGAAAUAAAAAUUAUAUUGCGGGCGGCUUAUCAGUGAGAAACUUGGCCAACAGGUUGGUUUGCCUGGCCGCUGACCAGACAAUAAACAUAAAUUUCAUAUCAACAAGCAGACACUUUUCAGCAACGGAAUCAGGUGCGAAGUUAAAGUUCAGCAGUCGGAAAUUAAUUUAAUCGGCAAGUGUGGGGAUUGCCCCUCCCCCCCUUUUUUGGCCUUAUCACCCAGCACUUUGGACUGGAAAUUCGAGUAGCCCAAGAAGUGAAGUGAAGAAAUAGCACACGCAGCUGACGUCGUCGCCUGGCGAAACAUGUGACCUCGCUGGCGAAAAGGGGGCGGUUAAGGCAGCAAAACAACAAGCAAUGAGGACGUCAGCAAACACGGAAAUUUGAUUUCGAUUUCGAUUGUUGUCGUAGGCUAAGGUGGUAAAAAUUCUAAUUAAUCGUAUGCGCGAUAUCCAAAGGAAUCUUAGCAGGAAGACUGUGCGCACGUGUUUCAGCCAACGGUCUUUUGCCCGUUGAUGAGUUCCAAUGUUUGAGCAGUCCGCUGAGGGGGCGGAUGGGUGGAUGGGCGGAAACGGUUAGGCGGUGGGUGGUGGGCGGCAGGGGAAGCUGCCAGACAAACUGCCUUCAGCAAAACACAAAAACACGAACGGUAUGCGCUCUCUCUGGCGCAACGAAGAGAGCGAAAGCUUCGGUCAGCUUUCCGUUUCAGUUGCACCAAA